rnacentral:rRNA from 1 species
AUUGAACGCUGGCGGCAGGCUUAACACAUGCAAGUCGAGCGAGCGGCGGACGGGUGAGUAAUGUCUGGGAAACUGCCUGAUGGAGGGUGAUAACUACUGGAAACGGUAGCUAAUACCGCAUACCAUCAGAUGUGCCCAGAUGGGAUUAGCUGGGAGGUGGGGUAAUGGCUCACCUAGGCGACGAUCCCUGGCUGGUCUGAGAGGAUGACCAGCCACACUGGACAUGGGACACGGUCCAGGCUCCAACGGGGGGCAGCAGGGGGGAAUAUUGCACAAUGGGCGCAGUCCUGAUGCAGCCAUGCCGCGUGUGUGAAGAGGGCCUUCGGGUUGUAAAGCACUUUCAGCGAGGAGGCGUUACUCGCAGAAGAAGCACCGGCUAACUCCGUGCCAGCGGCCGCGGUAAUC